rnacentral:lncRNA from 1 species
GCCCCAUAUUCAUACUCUCGGUAAAUGAAUGAGGAGAGCCCCAUGUGGGAUUACAAACUUGCUGGAAAUGGAUGAGAAACCUUCUGCUCUGCUGGAGUUUAUCUUGAGUGUGCCUUAAAAUUCCAUUUCAUGGAGAACUGUGCGUGGUUGAAUUUUGAUUGAUUACUCAAUUAACUGAUGUAUUGGUAGAGUGAUUAAGAAAGAAGACUUUGGGAUCAGACCAACCUGGUUUUGAAUUCAAGCUCAGCAACUUACUAGGUAAGGAGGAGAAAAGAAAGAAGGAAAAAUUGGAAAGAUAAAUGGGGUCUUUCCAGUGAAGGCUCAAUUUUCCUACAUAAUUAAGAGUUUGGAAUUCGGGCAAUAUCAAGAACCACAUCUGUCCUGAAAUCAAUUAUCUCUGUUUGUGGCCAUGGUCCAUGCCUCCUUUACUACAUCAGAUCCACCUAGUCCCUGGACUAAUCAGAAACACAAGAAAUAAGAAGACCAUUUUGAGAAGAACAGAGAGUAGCCUUAAGAAAAUCCCUGUCGCAAGCACUCUGGGAUUUGGACUCAAAUGCUAAUUAUACAGAACCACUUGGGUGCCCAGCUGCUGUCCAUUCUCUACACUUAUCCCACCUGAUGGAAGGCUGUUAAGAAAAACAUCACUGCAAUGCCUAAUAAACAGACAUGGGUCCCAGACCCAAUAAGAGUGAAACCAUCCCCCUAUUUAAAUGAAAUUAUGGCUGAUGAGAAAGACAAAUUAAUUUCUCUGUCCCUAGUAUUACACAAAACUUUGGAUGCUGCCAUUGUUACAAUUUUAUUUUCCCCAGGAGCUCAGAGUCCCACCUUCAUUCUUUUUGUUUAAUGCUUAAGCUUGCCUGUCCACCUAUGGAAGACUAGAAUGAGCAAAGACCAUGUAUUCAAUGAUCUGUAAAUCUAACAGGAAACAAUAUAAUAAAUAUAUUGUGUUUGCUAACCAAA